CGCGCCUGGCUCUCCUCCCCGGGGCGGGGCCUGCGGAGGCCGCCGGGGCGCAGCGCGCUGGGGAGCGGGUUGGGGGCUGCUAGGGCUGCGGGGCGGGAAGGAGGCGGCAGUGUGUGUGUGUGUGUGUGUGUGUGUGUGUGGGCAGGUGUGUGUGUGUGUGUACGUGUGUGCGCGCGCGCCCUGCAGCGGCCGGCCAGCCGGAGGGAAGACCCCGGCGGGAAGACUGCGUCCCGUCCGGCCUUCCCGGGCCUGUCACUUGGGCGGUGGCGUGGGAGCGGCGAGGCUGCUCGGGGGGCAGCCGGGUGGGCCCAGCUCUAGGGGAGAUUCGGGUCAGCCCCUGAGCCCAGCCUCCCGGCUGUGCCUGCUGGAAGCAGACGGAGGGAAGGCCGGGCGUCUUUGGCCCACCGCGCGGCCGCUCCCCUCCCGGGCCAGGCUGAACGGGCGGGCGCAGCCCAGAGGCCCGGGCUCUGCCACCGAUCCGCCUCCAUACUGACCCGAGCUGCGGCGCCUGCAAGAUUAAUGAAGCAUCCGCGAUUCGGUAGAGGCGGCACGGGGAGGAAAGACACAAGAUCGUGCUGCCCCCCUCUCCCCACCCUUCUCAGCCUCCUAGGACCUAAAGGCGUAGGCUGCGUCUGCUGGGCGCGUCCGGAGUGGUCCAGAGAGAUCGCCAUCCACCACUGCAUCCGUCCAGUUCUUUGUGGACCCUCACAGAAGCUCAAUCAAUUUCCCACCCUCUGGAAAAGGGGUGAAGAUGGAAAAUGGAAAAGAACGCCAUCAGAGUGGUGACACUGACGAGAAAAGCCAAUUCAUAAUUUAGUUUAAUGAAAUGAGUUAGUAAUCAACCACUAAUGUCUAGGAAAUUGGCCUUUUUUGAAAACUGGUUUUCCCUUUCUCCACCCCUUUUUUUUUCAAAUUAAAAGACUAGUAUCCCACUGUUGUUGUUUUAAUUUUUAUUGUUUUCAGGGAUGGGGUCUGCUGCCAAGGCUGGAUUCGAACUCCUGAACCCAAGAGAUCCUCCUCAAGGGAUCUUCCCCAUCUCAGCCUCCCAAGUAGCUGGGACUACAGGCCAAUUCCACCGCACCCUGCCUAACAUCACAUUGUUCAGGAACCUCAACUUACAUUCCAUUUUUACAAAAUAUCCAUAUUCUGGUUCAUACUUCUUGGAGCCCAAAUUUUUUGUAGUCUAGCCUCUUGGAAAGGAGCGGUUAAGAAGGGAGGGUAGAUAAAUUGAGAUUUCAAUCAGGGGCAGCCAGCCCCAUCCCUUUCACCACUGGUGACUUGUUUCAUUUCUUCUUUCUUUCCUCAUCUGUAAAGGCAUUGAUAAUGAUCGUUCCUACCUCAUAAGCUUGUGAAAGUAAAAAGAAAAUAAAACGAGGUGGCAAUGCAUGUAAAACACUUUGCAUAGUGCCUGACACAUGGGUGAGAACUCAAUAAAUAGAAGCUAUUGUUUCAGACUUGAUUAUUUUAAACUCAAAUUUGGUAGAAUUUUAUUCUCUUUCCAUUCCUUCUGAAAAGUUAGGGAGGAGAAUGGACACAGCUGAUGGAUUUAUUCAAAUGUAGUCCACUCUUCCCUUGGGUUUUUACGCCCUGCCUGAAACUUUUGCCUGUGGUAAAAUGAAAUAAAUACAUAACUGAGGGGUGUGUGUGUG
rnacentral:lncRNA from 1 species